rnacentral:tRNA from 12 species
GCGGAUGUAGCCAAGUGGAUCAAGGCAGUGGAUUGUGA